rnacentral:snRNA from 1 species
UUGAACAUCACAGAUACUAAAACUGGAACAAAUCCCGAAGAUACCAGUGCGGCCCCUGCACAAGGAUGACAGGCAAUCUCAUGAAGGAUUCCACAUUUAA